UACAGAGGGGGCAAGCGUUAUUCGGAAUUAUUGGGCGUAAAGAGCUCGUAGGCGGUUUGUCGCGUCUGCUGUGAAAACCCGAGGCUCAACCUCGGGCCUGCAGUGGGUACGGGCAGACUAGAGUGCGGUAGGGGAGAUUGGAAUUCCUGGUGUAGCGGUGGAAUGCGCAGAUAUCAGGAGGAACACCGAUGGCGAAGGCAGAUCUCUGGGCCGUAACUGACGCUGAGGAGCGAAAGCAUGGGGAGCGAACAGG
rnacentral:rRNA from 1 species